rnacentral:rRNA from 1 species
GACGAACGCUGGCGGCGUGCUUAACACAUGCAAGUCGAACGGAGUUACGUAUGAAGUAUUUCGGUACGGACUAUGUAACUUAGUGGCGAACGGGUGAGUAACACGUGGGCAACCUGCCCUUAACCGGGGGAUAACAUUGUGAAAACAGUGCUAAUACCGCAUAACAGAGUAUCGGGCAUCCGAUAUUUUUAAAAGGAGCAAUCCGGUUUAGGAUGGGCCCGCGUCCAAUUAGCUAGUUGGUGAGGUAACGGCUCACCAAGGCUACGAUUGGUAGCCGAACUGAGAGGUUGAUCGGCCACAUUGGGACUGAGACACGGCCCAGACUCCUACGGGAGGCAGCAGUGGGGAAUAUUGGGCAAUGGGCGAAAGCCUGACCCAGCGACGCCGCGUGAAGGAUGAAGGUCUUCGGAUUGUAAACUUCUUUGAUCAGGGAAGAAAGAAAAUGACGGUACCUGAAGAACAAGCCACGGCUAACUACGUG